CCUACGGGAGGCAGCAGUGGGGAAUCUUGCGCAAUGGGCGAAAGCCUGACGCAGCAACGCCGCGUGCGGGAAGAAGGCUCUCGGGUUGUAAACCGCUUUCAGCAGGAACGAAAAUGACGGUACUUGCAGAAGAAGGUGCGGCCAACUACGUGCCAGCAGCCGCGGUGACACGUAGGCACCAAGCGUUGUCCGGAUUUAUUGGGCGUAAAGAGCUCGUAGGCGGUUCGGUAAGUCGGGUGUGAAAACUUUGGGCUUAACCCAAAGCCUGCAUCCGAUACUGCUGUGACUAGAGUUCGGUAGGGGAGCGGGGAAUUCCUAGUGUAGCGGUGAAAUGCGCAGAUAUUAGGAGGAACACCGGUGGCGAAGGCGCCGCUCUGGGCCGAUACUGACGCUGAGGAGCGAAAGCGUGGGUAGCAAACAGGAUUAGAUACCCUGGUAGUCCACGCCGUAAACGUUGGGCACUAGGUGUGGGUUUCAACCAACGAAAUCCGCGCCGUCGCUAACGCAUUAAGUGCCCCGCCUGGGGAGUACGGCCGCAAGGUUAAACUCAAAGGAAUUGACGG
rnacentral:rRNA from 1 species